AUGUACCACCCGAGCUCGCCGGGUCUGAGCGCCGUCCGCAUCCACCUGACAACGACCGCUUGCUGGGUUUUGUCAGCC
rnacentral:sRNA from 2 species